AUACGUAGGACCCGAGCGUUGUCCGGAUUUACUGGGUAUAAAGGGCGCGUAGGCAGUUUAUCAAGUCAGGGGUUAAAAGCCGCAGCUCAACUGCGGAGCUGCCCUUGAAACUGAUAGACUUGAAUAUGAGAGGGGCUGAUAGAAUUCCUGGUGUAGCGGUAAAAUGCGUAGAUAUCAGGAAGAAUACCGGUGGCGAAGGCGGUCAUCUGGCUUAUUAUUGACUCUGAAGCACGAAUGCGUAGGUAGCGAACAGGAUUAGAUCCUCUGGUAGUCUACGCUGUAAACGAUGUAUGCAUGGUGUUAUGCGUUUAUGCGCGUAGUGCCGUAGGAAAUCUGGUAAGCAUACCACCUGGGGAGUACGAAUGCAAGUUUGAAACUCAAAUGAAUUGGCGGGG
rnacentral:rRNA from 1 species